AAGCGAAUCAAUUUACUAUUUAUCUUUUAUUUCCCUAUUCCAAAAUGAAAAUGUCCUAUCUCCUUGGCUUUUUUCAUAUAUUUUGCAGUCUCUGAUUGUGUCCAUGUGUAUGAUAUAGUCUUGGAAUUUGAAGAGCAAGGCCGGUAAGAGAUGAUGUGGAGAACAUAAGAAGAGAGAGUUUAAAAAUAAAAAAGAAAAAAAGUAAGGGCUAAUAAGCUUGAGUUGAGUUGCAGAAAUGGUGAUCCAUAGAUUGGAGAUUUGCAUAGAACUAACGAGGCUGGCCUUGGAGUUUGUCAUGGAUGUAGCUGAAGCAAUUGGAAUUGUGAUUGAGCAGAACAACUCUCAUCACCUCCCAAACCGCUCUUUUGCAGCUCCUGUUCCUUUUGGUAGUCUUCUUCCAUGAAAGCCGCAGGUUUCUUCAAGAAAUGGCAAGUUCUCUGUUUCAGUUUGGUUACCUUUUUGUCUUCUGGGAAGCCAUCAUGCCCUCGUCAUCACCUGCCAAACCACCCUGAUGCUGCUCCUGUUCUCCUUUUUGUUAUAUUCAAGAAAUGGCAAUUUAAUUUCUUUCUGAGUUUUGGGAAGGUUUGUGCAUGCAAUUUGUACAUACAAAAGAGAGAUUUGCAGUUUGUGGUUGGAGAUGUCUUUCUUUGUUAAUCCAGUUUUCUAAGAGUUGUUUGUUCAAAUUGUUCGGAUUGUAUGGUAUGAUUUUUGAAGUCUAUUGACUUCGCUGUUAAAGUUGUUAUUAAGAAAAA
rnacentral:misc_RNA from 1 species